AAGUCGUAACAAGGUUUCCGUAGGUGAACCUGCGGAAGGAUCAUUAUUGAAUAACUCUGGGAUAGUGCUGCUGGCGUUCGGAAACGAGCGUAUUGUGCACCUAGCUCAUUUAUUCUUCAACCCUUCAUCACUGUGCACCUUUUUAAUGUUCGUCUCGAUGGUAGAACGUGAAUCUGUCGCCUUUAGUGGCGGAUGUGAAGCCUAGUGUGCUUGCGCGCACUUAGCUUCUACUCACUAGUAUACGGUUGGGUUCGUUCUCAUAUACAUUGUAAUUAUUAUUAUCAAGAAUGUCUACUUUAGCUGGCGCUACGUCGGCGAGUAAUCCUAUACAACUUUCAGCAACGGAUCUCUUGGCUCUC
rnacentral:misc_RNA from 1 species